rnacentral:rRNA from 1 species
AACGAACGCUGGCGGCAGGCCUAACACAUGCAAGUCGAGCGCUCUCUUCGGAGGGAGCGGCGGACGGGUUAGUAACGCGUGGGAAUAUGCCCUUCUCUACGGAAUAGCCUCGGGAAACUGAGAGUAAUACCGUAUACGCCCUUCGGGGGAAAGAUUUAUCGGAGAAGGAUUAGCCCGCGUUGGAUUAGGUAGUUGGUGGGGUAAUGGCCUACCAAGCCUACGAUCCAUAGCUGGUUUGAGAGGAUGAUCAGCAACACUGGGACUGAGACACGGCCCAGACUCCUACGGGAGGCAGCAGUGGGGAAUCUUAGACAAUGGCGCAAGCCUGAUCUAGCCAUGCCGCGUGAGUGACGAAGGCCUUAGGGUCGUAAAGCUCUUUCGCCAGGGAUGAUAAUGACAGUACCUGGUAAAGAACCCCGGCU